rfam:Ancylostoma ceylanicum strain HY135 Acey_s0416_scaf, whole genome shotgun sequence.
GGAUGGCUCAAUCGGUAGAGCGCCUGACUAUCAGUCGGGCGGUCGCUGGUUCGAGUCUGGUGGAGAUCCA